AUUGACAUUAAAAAGUGUUGGUGAGGAUACAGAGAAAUUGGAACCCUCAUCCACUGCUGGUGGGAAUGUGAAAUACUGCAGUUGCUUUGGAAAAUAAUCCAUCAGGUCCUCAAAAGGUUAAACAUAGAAUUACCAAAUGACACAGCAAAUUCUACUCCUACUGAAGAUAAAUAAAAAUAUGUACACAGAAGACCCCAUGCACAAAUGUUCACUGCAAUGUUAUUGAUAACAGUCAAAAAGUAAAAACAGUACAUCAGCUGCUGAGGGGAUAAAUAAAAUGUGGCCCAUCCAUACAGUGAAAUAUUAUUAGGACAUAAAAAGGAAUGAAGCAUUAAUACAUGCUACAACAUGGAUGAAACUUGAAAACAUUAUGCUAAGUGAAAGAAGGCAGACACAAAAGAUCACAUAAGAUUCCACUUCAUGAAACUUCUAGAAUAGGUAAAUCUAUAGAGCUUGAAAGUGGAUUAGUCUUUAACCUGGCCUAUAGUGGGAUGAGGGAAUUGGGAGAAAGCAGGUGGUGAUUACUAAUGGAUAUGUUUCUCUUAAGGUUGAUGAAAUGUUCUAAAAUCGUGGUGAUAUUUGUACACCUUUGUGAGUACACUAAAAAGCAUUGAACUGUGCACUU
rnacentral:lncRNA from 1 species